UCUGUCCAUCUUCUCCGCUCAAAUGUCACUCUGCCUCUCCCUUUUUCUCUCACUCUCACCCGACGCAACCACCGCCUCCACCGCCACAACCGCUGACUCUGACUCUCACCCUCUCAGAUCUGUCUCCUCCACCGGCCGUCGACGCUCCUGCCACGCUCCACCGCCACCGUCGACACAACGCCUGCCUCAGCCACCGCUGGCGUUGGAGAUAUCGCUGCCAAACCCCCCGUCGCUGACAAUGACCCUGGUGCUGAUCUCCCAGAUCUGAUUUCGUCCUGGUGAUGACGACUUGAGAGCAUCGAGGCCCUGAAAAAGCCUAAUGUCCUCUCUCUCGACGCCUUCUACCAGAACGAACUCCCUUUUCUCCUCCGGCAACGGAACCCUAAUCCGAACCUCACCAAGCUCAUGCAAUAAACGAGGUCGGAAUUCGGCGGAAGAGUGGAGAAGCCGAGGUCCGAGACGGAGAGACUGGAGAGUGGAGAAGCUGAGAAGCGGAGAAGGGUAGGGCUAAUCCGCAACUCAAAGUCAAAAUCAGGAACAUAACCAAAGGAAAAAACCUCCAGCUCGUGUAUCUCACACAGAGUUUUUUUGGUUUUGCAUAGCUCAUAGUCAAUGGGCUUUGCAUCUCUUGGUUCGCCUCAAGGGAAGAGGUCUUCUUUUGCAAGACUUGGAGGCAAAGUUGAAAUAUCCAAAAGAAGAAGCAUCAAUUGGUUUAACUUUGUGGUGUGGAAGGCAAAGGAAUGUAAAGUUAGCUAAUUUAAUUCACCUUGGUUUGUGGCUCAACUCAAUUAUGUUUAAAGGACUUUAUGGUGAUUGCAUUCUCCCAAAUUACAUAGGUGAAUAAAAGGACUUUUGUGGAGCUGCAUGUUGGUGAUGUAAUACGGUUUGGACAGGGUUCUGAUUCAGAUUUUGUAGCGGCUGUAGAAUUCCUAUGUCUGGCUGGACAAUUUCAUUGCAGAUUUCUUGACAUGCAUGACUGAAUCUGUGCUUAUUUCAAUCUCGUCGCAGCUUCUACGCAUCGAAGAGGAACUUGGGCUAGAGUACAUCCACGAGCAUACAGUUGGAAAAAUUUGUGAUGUUGGAUUCGUUGAUGACAACAUUCGUUAAUGACAGAUUUGGUUAGUAUUGAUUUUCACUAAGGCAAUGUGGCAUUAUAGAUUAGUUAGUGGUUUAUAUAGACAUUAUGCCCUUGUGGGGUGAUCACUUUUGGGUCACAUGUAAAACAUUGUUUUAGUGGCAAUGAAUAACUCCUUUAAAAAAAAUAUUUCUUUAUUAAA